rnacentral:ncRNA from 2 species
CCCGCCGAGGGGCGCUGCGACCGUUUGUGAGCGCGAAUGCGGAUGCCUCCGCGUCUCACGGAAAACGGCCAGGCUCGGCGCGGCACGUUCCACAACGGCGCCCGGUUGUU